AGCAGCCGCGGUAAUUCCAGCUCCAAUAGCGUAUAUUAAAGUUGUUGCAGUUAAAAAGCUCGUAGUUGAAUUUCGGGGUUAGUAGGUUGGUCAUGCCUCUGGUAUGUACUGGUCUCACUGAUUCCUCCUUCCUUAUGAACCGUAAUGCCAUUAAUUUGGUGUUGCGAGGAAUUUGGACUGUUACUUUGAAAAAAUUAGAGUGUUUAAAGCAAGCUAACGCUUGAAUACAUUAGCAUGGAAUAAUGAAAUAGGACGUUCGAUCUUAUUUUGUUGGUUUCUAGGAUUGACGUAAUGAUUAAUAGGGAUAGUUGGGGGCAUUAGUAUUCAAUUGUCAGAGGUGAAAUUCUUGGAUUUAUUGAAGACUAACUACUGCGAAAGCAUUUGCCAAGGAUGUUUUCAUUAAUCAAGAACGAAAGUUAGGGGAUCGAAGACGAUCAGAUACCGUCGUAGUCUUAACCAUAAACUAUGCCGACUAGGGAUCGGAUGAUGUUAAUUUUUAAUGACUCAUUCGGCGCCUUAC
rnacentral:rRNA from 1 species